CUUUUCAUUACGCCAUUUCUGAGUGACUUUGUUUCUCCUUCAUAAAUGUUUAGAUAUUGGAUAUGAAAGGACUCUGUAAGAGCUUCUGAGAAAAGAUUUAUACAGAAGGAUUGAGAGACUAUGUGCAAAUGACUGAAUCCAGACACAUAGGUAACUAGAAAAACAGCAACAAACUACUUUGAAUCCUCUGAUCACCAGUAUGGACCGACUCCGUACAAUACAGAGGAUAAGGAUCUCCUGAUAACGUAAGGAACCAAUGAUAUCUGCAUCAAACUCUGCAGAGGGAAGAUGUAGCUGGAAGAUGUCAUGGCAGCCAGGAACAAAUGGAGACAAAAAGUCAAGACCAGAUGUCUCAGUGCUAGUGUCCAGCUACCUGGAAGGCCUCAAAUCUACCGUCACUUAUAGUGAGUCAAGUCUAUGUCUGCUGUCGUUACCUACAGUCCAGUAAGGCCUAAAGUGAAUGAUCUAAAGUCCAUUACAAGUAUAAUUGGCCCCAGCAAGCUGUGAGGUCCUUCUGUUUUCCUGGCCACCUCUCUGGGAUUAUGACCGAGCUGUAGAGACUAUAACAACUGUCUGACUUCAGUAAA